rnacentral:rRNA from 1 species
UCCCAACCCCUGUGAACAUACCACUUGUUGCCUCGGCGGAUCAGCCCGCUCCCGGUAAAACGGGACGGCCCGCCAGAGGACCCCUAAACUCUGUUUCUAUAUGUAACUUCUGAGUAAAACCAUAAAUAAAUCAAAACUUUCAACAACGGAUCUCUUGGUUCUGGCAUCGAUGAAGAACGCAGCAAAAUGCGAUAAGUAAUGUGAAUUGCAGAAUUCAGUGAAUCAUCGAAUCUUUGAACGCACAUUGCGCCCGCCAGUAUUCUGGCGGGCAUGCCUGUUCGAGCGUCAUUUCAACCCUCAAGCACAGCUUGGUGUUGGGACUCGCGUUAAUUCGCGUUCCUCAAAUUGAUUGGCGGUCACGUCGAGCUUCCAUAGCGUAGUAGUAAAACCCUCGUUACUGGUAAUCGUCGCGGCCACGCCGUUAAACCCCAACUUCUGAAUGUUGACCUCGGAUCAGGUAGGAAUACCCGCUGAACUUAAGCAUAUCAAAA